AAACAAAACGGCUACCAAUUUGGCAAAACAUUUGAUUUCUAUAUUUAAUAUAUUUGGAGCUCCCAAAAUACUCUACACAGAUAAUGGGCGUGAAUUAAAAAACGAAAGCAUCCAAAAGCUCGUAGAUAUGUGGCCGGGAUGCAAAUGCACGGAAGACCAAAAGAUUCCAUAUCUCAUGGAUUAGUCGAGCGUGCUAAUAAAGAUAUUAUGAAUAAAUUACGCUGUUUUCUUCAUGAUAACAAAACAAUGUGUUGGGCUAAUGCAUGGGAACGAUCCAGUUCCAAAAAAAUAUAUCUUAUCAUAGAGGAAUCAAAUCAUCACCCCAUGAGGUUAUGUUUGGACAUAAACCUAAUAUCUGGGAUUCCUCUUUGACAAAAAAAUUGGAAGAUACAGGAGAUGAUACUGGUAUAUUCUUUUAUUAUUAUACAAUGAAUUCGUUAUAAUAUACUAUAG